AUACGUAGGGAGCAAGCGUUGUCCGGAUUUACUGGGUGUAAAGGGUGCGUAGGCGGUCCUGCAAGUCAGGUGUGAAAACUAUGGGCUUAACUCAUAGAUUGCACUUGAAACUGUGGGGCUUGAGUGAAGUAGAGGCAGGCGGAAUUCCCGGUGUAGCGGUGAAAUGCGUAGAGAUCGGGAAGAACACCAGUGGCGAAGGCGGCCUGCUGGGCUUUAACUGACGCUGAGGCACGAAAGCGUGGGUAGCAAACAGGAUUAGAUACCCUGGUAGUCCAUGCUGUAAACGAUGAUUACUAGGUGUGGGGGGACUGACCCCCUCCGUGCCGGAGUUAACACAAUAAGUAAUCCACCUGGGAAGUACGACCGCAAGGUUGAA
rnacentral:rRNA from 1 species